GAUGAACGCUGGCGGCGUGCCUAAUACAUGCAAGUCGAGCGAACAGACGAGGAGCUUGCUCCUCGGACGUUAGCGGCGGGCGUGUGAGUAACACGUGGAUAACCUACCUAUAGGACAGGGAGCACUUCGGGAAACCGGACCUAAUGCCGGAUAAUAUAGUAAACCGGAGGGUUCAAUAGUAAAUUACGGUUUUCCUGUUUCUUAUGGACGAAUCCGCGCCGCAUUAGCUAGUUGGUAAGGGAACGGCUUACCAAGGCAACGAUGCGUAGCCGACCUGAGAGGGUGAUCGGCCACACUGGAACUGAGACACGGUCCAGACUCCUACGGGAGGCAGCAGUAGGGAAUUUUCCGCAAUGGGCGCAAGCCUGACGGAGCAAUGCCGCGUGAGUGAUGAAGGUCUUCGGAUCGUAAAACUCUGUUAUUAGGGAAGAACAAAUGUGUAAGUAUCUCUGCCCGUCUUGACGGUACCUACUCAGAAAGCCCCGGCUAACUACGUG
rnacentral:rRNA from 1 species